GCGACUGCUGAUUGCUGCGAUGUGGGGCGUGCACGACGUUAAGGUAGCUGCUGUUAACCACUAUUUAGGGUUAGACUGGGAUUUGAGGUUUGGUUUAGUGAUUUGGGCCUUAUUGGGCCAAAUGUAAUUGGGUUAGAUUGAUUAAUUUGGGCCCCGGGCAUCAAUUGGGUAUUACAGCUGCCCCUCUUUACUCGUUAUCAUGUAAUGGGAACAGAGCAAAAACUAAAAAGCCCAAUUGUGCCCGGUCUCACCGAGCCUCAACUUCUUCAAUGCUUCUUUUGUUCAAGUAGCCUCAUUCUAACCCACUUGUAGCUUCUCAAAUAAAUUUGGCUAUCUUUAGUCUGCCCCACUGCAACUUCAAGGAGAUAAGACUCGUAGCUUCAGCUUGUUUUGUUGCAACUUUAGAGAUGAGUCUGAUACAAUCCACUCUACGACAACUUCAAAAAAGUGAAAUCUGUGAUUUUAAUCCAUUCUACUGCAAAUUCAGGGAGAUAGGAUUUUUUUCUUCAAUUCGUCCAAUUACAAUGUCGAGGAAACAAUAUCCGCCGUCGUAGCUUCAACCUGUUAAACUGCACCGCUAAGGAAAUCAGAUCCGCCGUUGUGGCUUUAAUCUUUUUAAUUGCGCUGUCGGGGAAAUCAGAUCUGCCGUUGUGACUUCAAUCUACUCCGCUGCACCGCCAGGGAAGUAAGAUCUGCCAUUGUGGCUUCAAUCUUUUUAAUUGCGCUGUCGGGGAAACCAGAUACGCCGUUGUGACUUUAAUCUGCUCCACUGCAUCGCCAAGGAAGUAAGAUCCGCCGUUGUGGCUUCAAUCCUUUUAAUUACGCUGUCAGGGAAACCAGAUCUGCCGUUGUGGCUUCAAUCUACUCCGCUACACCGCCAGGGAAAUAAGAUCCGCCGUUAUGGCUUCAAUCUUUUUAAUUGCGCUGUCGAGGAAACCAGAUCCGCCGUUGUGACUUCAAUCUGCUCCGCUGCACCGCCAGGGAAGUAAGAUCCGUUGUUGUGGCUUCAAUCUUUUAAUUGCGCUGUCGGGGAAACCAAAUCCGCCGUUGUGACUUCAAUCUGCUCCACUACAUCGCCAAGGAAGUAAGAUCCGCCGUUGUGGUUUCAAUCCUUUUAAUUGCGCUGUCGGGGAAACCAGAUCUGCCGUUGUGACUUCAAUCUGCUCCACUGCAUCGCCAGGGAAGUAAGAUCCGCCGUUGUGGCUUCAAUCUUUUUAAUUGCGUUGUCGGGGAAACUAGAUCCGCCGUUGUGACUUCAAUCUACUCCGCUACAACGCUAAGGAAAUAAGAUCCGCCAUUUUUAACCUACUCUACUGCUGCUCAAGGAGAUAAGGCUAAAGUUUUAUCAGUUUGGUUCUCUAGGGAACAUGACCUGUAAAAUUCAAGUUAUGAACCUAAUUAUGCCUAGUGAUUAGGAUGUCAUGAUCAAAAUGAAUCAAAUGAUCCUAACUAGACGUGUAUGAAUGACAUUUGAAUGAGUGCUGAAUGUCAUUUUUCAAUAAUGAUCUCUCUUUAAAGCUUAGGUUGUCAUUACUCAAAGUUUAUUGAAACUAAAUUACUGACGCACUAGAACGUCCUCUUGCUCAGCUAGCAUCUCCGAAGAAACACUUAAUCAACCUGCCCCCACUGUAAACUUCAAAGUUCAAUCUACUGGGAUGCAACAUUGGUACCAUCUUUCUCCCGCUGUAACCCAAGGGUAGAAAAAUCUAGUCUUUUCUCAAUCCUAUCCUAUCGCAAUUCAAGGAUAUAGACUGUGAAACUCUUUGGUUCUUUACACCAUUUCCAAGGUGUCAUACCAAAUGCUCAUGCACAAAUGAAUACUUUCUUCUCCGAUGAAACCUCUUCUUAUUGCUUGGUGAUCAUUUUUCGCUUGUUCAUUGAAGCCCUAUCACCGACACGACAUCUUAUCAUUUUGUUCAAUCAAUGCCUUGACAACAAAAUCUGAAGGGAUAGUCUCAAUUUAGACUUUUCCUUCCUAGAUAUUUCAACCUUUAAACUUGGUGCUUUCUAAAUAAUAGUCUUGUUUCAGGUUCUCGUAUUAUUUAGAAACUUCUAGAGUAAUAUGCAAAACUUCCCUUGUGAAAGUUUUAUUGGUCCAUUAAUCAUUAUUCUAAUGCAACAUACUUGCAAAAAGGACAAAACGAUAGAUAAAAUAGAAUUGAUUUAAGAGCAUAGCUCGAAAUGAAUAGAAUAUCAAGGAUAGUAAAAAUAAAAGAAGAAUGGAUUGGGAACACGUAUCUUGAAAAAGAAUAAAGUAUUCCAAGAACAAACAAUUCGAUAAAAAUAGUAUGAAAACUAGGUGCCCUAGAUAUCGGACCUUGAACUUCUCUGUACAAACUUCCUGAAGGCUAUUCUGAGUUUGACAUGUGCUUAGGAGAUCUAUAAUACUCUGUCGAUGCUCCAAGAUGUCGCGUACCCUUUCCUGCUGAUUUAGGCAUAGCAAGAUCACCACAUGCCCCAAUCUGAUCAAAAUUUGAGCUACUCUUAUUACCUCAUGCCCCAUUUUGAUCAAUAUUUGAGCCGCCCUUUUCGGGUUUUCAACUCAAAUCCCCUUUGGUCUAAGGCACCCUUUGCGGGUUUUCACAUUAGCCUCUCCAUUUUUACUUUUUCUAUUUUUCAUUUUCAUUUUUUCACAUAUUUUUUCUUCUCUUUUUCUUUCUUUUCUUUUUCUUUUUUGCGACUCAAAGUGCCCUUUGAAGGUUUUUACCUUGACCCUAUCAUUCUUUAAGCGAAGCAUUUCUUGACUGAAUCUGAGUUUACAGGAUUAGACAAGUUUUUACUAUCCAUCUCACUCAAGAUCAGUGCUCCUCCAGAAAAGGUCUUCUUGACACCAUAAGGACAUUCCCACUUUGGCACUCAUUUUUCUCUAAAAUCCUUUUGUAGAGGAAUGAUCUUUUUCAAUACUAGGUUUCCCUCGUGGAAUUUUCUAGGACGAACCUUUUUGUUGUAAGCUCGUAUCAUUCGUUUUUGGUACAUCUGACCGUGACAAAUAGCCUUUUUCCUUCAAUUAAGUUCAACUGAUCUUAUCGAGAUUGGAUCUUCAUCCUACUUCAACUCAGCCAAUACCCAGAGAAAAAGAAUUUCAACUUCAAUGGAAAACUGUGAUAAGCUAAAGAGAAAGGCAUUGCCCUAGCGAGGUUCUUUUUCUUUCUUUUUUUAUUUUUUUUCUUAUUUUUCCCCUUUUUUUUUUCUUUUUUUUUGGAUUGAAUCUGCACUUAUAGGAUUAGGCAAGUCCUGGUCAUCUCUUUCGAUCAGAAUCAAUAUUAUUCUAGAUAAGGUCUUCCCCAUAACUUCCACUUUCAUUUUGUAUGCGAAAGAUCUUCUUUGGUAUCAGGUUUCUCUCAUAGAGCCUUUUGGGGCGAAAUUUAACUAUGACGAGAAAAUUUUAGAUCUUCCUCUUCAAUUAGGAUGAAAUCUAACAAAAAUACGGAAAAAUUACAACUUGACUUCAACGAAAUAAGCCAGAGAAGAAGGUAUUACCCCGGUAAAGAAUUCUAACUACAUCGUUCAUGAUGUGAAUCUUGAACAUACUGCAGAUUUUUAACGUGCUAUUGCUCAGAUUACAAUAUCAGUGCUUAACCUGGGCAUAUCCUGGUAUAAUCAUACGAAGACAUCUUUGAACUCUCGAAGUAACUUAACAAGGUCUUGCUUCAUUUCUCCGGUUAUGCAUGUUCUCUUAAAGUCACAAUCUCCAUUGUCUCUUCAAAAGGUAAAAAUUGUUCUCUUCUUGCUCUACCAUCCUCAACAAGUCUGGAGAUAGGCUACAAUCUAUGUCAUUUCCAAAGUCAUGAAAUCCUUCUAAACACAUGUUUUACUCAAAAGAGGAUUCUGAAUUUGUAACAGCGUCACUCACGUCAUUGAUAUUUGGGGACCCGUAAUAAAUACCAAAAAAAAUAUACAAAAGAAAUGUAUAAAUUUAUGAACAAUUAUUUAUACAAUAUGAUUAUGAAUGAAUGAAUGAUGUGGAAGAAAAUCCAAAAGAAUGAAAGAAUAACUUUUCAGACAGACUGAAAGAAUAUUGGUUCAAAAAAAAUGAUCGCAAGGAUGCAUUUCAUUAAAAUAAUGACAUUCAGACAUGAGCCUAUUUCACAAAGGAAUUCUUAUUGCCUCUAGGCUAAAAACAACAAGUGUGUUUUGAACAUUACUCUAAAUAAGUCCUAAAUACUACAGAGAUUUCUUUUACAGUCUAAUUGUUUAGGACACUCCCAAGUUUAUAAGUAUGGAUAUCUAAUAAGGUCCCUUUUCAAUUGUGUCUUCAUGUAUGGCAUUGAUGUGAACGUUCUCCUACACUUUUUCAUACAUCGCAUUCACCCCAUUAUCAAUAUGAUUGGGUAGCGAAUUUCUUGCACUCGAUGAAUCCUCAAAUCUAACAAUGUCCAUAUUGAUUAGCCUUUCAACCAAUUUCUUGAAAGUGGUGCAAUUUUCUAUCGAAUGCCCCGCAAUUCUUGCGUGGUAUUCACACUAAGCAUUUGCAUUAUACCAUUUAAGAAAUGGGGGCAACAUCGGUUUCAAAUAGAAGGGAGACACCACAUGUACAUUAAAUAGGCUUUGAUACAGCUCACUAUAAGACAUCGGUAUAGGCGUGAACUGAAGUCCUUCUGUAUUUGUCUUCGUGUAAGAUUCUCGCUUUAAAGGGCUCUGACGGUUAGUGAUUUCUGUCUUUGGUCGGCCCACAGUGAUUGGUUUUGAGUGACCCUUUUUAUAUCUACCUAUAUUAUCUCCCUUAUCCCCCUUCUUUCUUGGGGCCUUUAAAGUAUUGAUUUGAGAGUUCCACUCUCGCCCUUUCCGUUUGUAACGAUCUUCGAAUUAUUUUGGGAACUCCACCCUCGCUUGUUCUGUAUCUGCUUGAUCAUCAAUGACAACAGGAUUAGUUAAAUUGCCCAUCGAGUUAGAUCUUAAGCCAGUCUGGAAAUUCACCGGUGUCGAGGUGCUGGUCUGAUAUUGGGGUCAGAUGUUAACAAUUACCCUUUGUGGAUAUGCAUUUGGUUGUGCUAGGGUAUUUGUUGGGGUGAAGCCUGAAGGAUAUGUAGGGUCUUCAUUAUUAUCCCCAAAGUGGACCGUUGAGGUAUUUCCUCUUUCUAACCCUCUAGCCAAUAACUGGGUUAACUGGCACAUUAUAUUUCUUUGGAAUUCUAACAACUGAUCUUUCAUAUCUUGCUAAAAUUUGGUCAAUUGCUCCUGCAUUCGCACCUGCAUUUGCUCUAAUUUCUCCAACCUUUGGUCCAUUUCUCUAAUCUUUGCUUGGGUGCCGUGAGGGUGUUGGUUUUCCAAUUUAACUGAAAUAAAUUUUACUCAAUUAGGCUAUUUCAAUAGAUUUUAAUGCAUAUGAUGCAAUGUAAUGCAAAUGCAUGAGAUGAAUGCAAAAAGAGACGUUGAUUCUGAUUCAAUUCCAUUUAGAAAACUUUUCUAGAAGACAAAUUUCUUUACAUAAAGCGGAUACAUAUAUACGGCUUUGCCCUCAUACUCCAAGCGAGGACAUCUUCUUCUUCUUCAUCUGGAUGCUAAGAUAAAUCUUGCGAAUUCUUCAAAAUGGGUAUCUCCUCUACCUCUUUUUUACUUGAUCCUGGUUAUAAUCCAACGUCUGCCCAUCCCGUAAUGCUCCUCAAUUUCUUUAAGGUAGUUGGAAUGUCAAAAACUCUUGAAUAAUCAGCUUGACCUUGAGGCACGAAGUAAAGUUAUGUAUUCCUCCAUCACCCUUCUCUUAUCACGUUUUCUUGGACCAUAUUCGGACAACCAUAUUGUCAUUCACUUUAUCAAGAAACUCAUUUUCUUAUGACAAGCUCUCUAUUUAGCAACCGAACGUGAAUCAACACCUCUUUUCUAUAAUGAAAUGCCAUGCAGUCAAAAUGUCAUGCAUUCAAAACAAAACACAAUAAGUUAGUAACAGGUAUAAACAUUAAAUCCAAUACAAUCAAGAAAUAAUAAAAACUCCUAGCCAGGUAUCUAUUAAGGUUCAAAGUAAUUCUACCUAGGGUGGGUUCCUAAGGUUCACUAUAUGAGGUUUUGGCUUCUAGAGCAAGGGUACCCGAACCAGCAGAUUCCUCGAUCCUCACCUAUUAUAGGCUCAUAUGGACCGUGUUCGGUUCAAGGAAAUACAUUUCCCUAUGGCUGCACGGAGAUGAAAAUCUCACGAAGACAUAGGUACGGAUGUAUCCCGAAAGCGAUCCACUACCCUGCACGGAGGUGAAAACCUCACGAAGGACUAGCUUCUCACUCCCACUUAGAGGGGUAAAAUUGACCAUGAAAUGCAAAAAUGCAAAUAAACCAACAGACUUAAACCAACCAAACAAGCAUAUGACAAUUAAAACUAAUGAAUGCAAAGAGAAAAUCAGGUUUUAAAACAACUUUAAUUUUCGACAAAAAAAAGACAAAAGAUAAUCAAUUCAUGGCUCAACUCUCCAAUAGUCCCCAGUGGAGUCGCCAAGCUGUCGAAACCAUUUUUUUGAAAACAAAAAUAAGUUAUCGACUUUAAAAGCAAAAAUUGGAGUCGCCACCGAUCCUUGAUUGAGGUGUGAUCGGCUCACCUUAAAAACGAUUUUGGUCUGUGAAAUUUGAGAAACCAGGUUCGGGAGUCAGUUACGCACGAGGAAGGGUUAGCACCCUCGUAACGCCCAAAAAUCAGUACCAAAUUUGAUUAUUUUGUCUUGAUGUCGAAAAUUUGAAAAGAGUUAAAAUAAAAAUUUUAAACUCGAGAAUGAAUUAAAAUGAUAAACAUUCUUAUUUCAAAGAAAUAAAACAUCACACCCACUGAGUUAGGGCACAAUAUUUUUAAAUCUUCAAAAUCAAGUUCGUCUUUGGUUUUUGAAAUUCUUAUUUCGAGUUGAUAAAAUGUCACGACCAGUAAGUUAGGACCCGACAUUCUUGGAUUCCCGAGAAUAAGCUUUUAUUUGAAAUCUUUGUGAAUUUAUUACAAAAUAAAUAUUUAGUUUUCCAAAUUCAUCGAAAAAUAAUCACAAUCCAGUAAGUUAGGACACGAUCUUUCUCGAGAAUCAAGAAUGCCAAAUAUUUAAAAUUUAAAAAACAAUUUUAACGCUUUGACAAAACCAAAAUAUAUUUUCUUUGAAAACAUGAUAAAAUGCGAAUGCAUAUAUAUAUGUAUUCAAAAAUCAUGAAAAAUGAAUUAAUAAUAAAAUAUACAUACAUUUUAGAAAUAAUAAACAUAAAAACGUAUAAAUAUAAGAUAUUAGUAAAUUAUGAAAAUAUGAAAAUAUAUACAUAAAAAACAUGCGAAAAAUAUAUUUAUAAUAAUUUGAAUAAUGUAUAAACAUGCAUAUUAUAAAAGAAAUAUAUAUAGGAUUAUAAAAAUAUGAAAAAUGUAUAAAUAAUAUAAAAUAAUAAUGUAUGUACGUAUGUAAAAACUAAGAAAAUAAAAUAAUAAUAGAAUAUGUAUGUGUAUUCAUUUAAAGAACAUUUAAAAUAUAUACAUAUAUAUUAUAAUAAAAAAAACAUAUGCGUGUAUAUGCAUAAAUAUAAUAAUAAAAAAUAUAUAAAAUAUGUAUAUAUAUAAAAAUAAAUAAAAUAUAUAUAAUAAGAUACAUAUGCGCAUAAAUAUAUGUAAUAAUAAUAAAUAACAUUGUAAAAAUAAUAAUGUAAUAACAAUAUUGAUAAUAUAUAAUAAAAAAAAGAAACCUAAAACUACCAAUUAGGGAUCAAACUGUAAAAUAAACAGAAUUAAAAGGCUGAAUUUAAAGAUAUAAAACACUAAAAAGGGCUAAAUUAAAAUGAACGCAACAGGGAAGGAUUGAAAGGGAAAUUUAAAAGAAAUAAAAAGACAAUUUUAAAGCACUAUAAAAACAAAAGGGACCAAUUGCGCAAAUUAUCCACUUGAUGCCCUAUAUAAGCCUAUUUUAAAACCCUAAAAUACCACUCCUCUGCCAUUUCAAGUGUUUGCGCCGCAGCCUCCCUUUCUCUGCCGUUCUCCCAACUCCGAACAGAUAACAACGAAUGAGGGCGCCCAACGACGGUAAGUCCUCCUUUCCUUCUUCUCUUUAUUUGUUUUUGUUUUAGGAUAACAAAAGAAAAACAAAAUAAAGUGAAAACAGUAAAAGAACAGAACAAAAUCUGUUACCUUCCAAAAUCGUUUUCUUUCUCUUGUAUUUCUUGUUAAUUUUCAUACAAAAUUUUUGCUAACCCCUAUUACAUAAAUCAAUUCCCUUUAUAUAGCCCCCCAAUCCUUUUACCAGUUUUUGCCCUGUUUCUCUUGCUGAUAUCAUUCGUGGCUUAUUGCAGGUGCGUACUAGAGGAGACAUGUGCGACGUGCGUGCGGAGGGCUGAACGUGGGCGGUUACUGCGACGUGUGUGGGGUGCGACUGCUGAUUGCUGUGAUGUGGGGCGUGCACGACGUUAGGGUAGCUGCUGUUAACCACUGUUUAGGGUUAGACUGGGAUU
rnacentral:lncRNA from 1 species